GACGAACGCUGGCGGCGUGCCUAAUACAUGCAAGUAGAACGCUGAAGCGAGGAGCUUGCUCUUCUUGGAUGAGUUGCGAACGGGUGAGUAACGCGUAGGUAACCUGCCUUGUAGCGGGGGAAACUUUUGGAAAAGAAUACUAAUACCGCCUUACCAAUGAUUACAACAUUUCUUUAAUUUAAAGGGGCAAUUUGCCCAACAACAAGAUGAACCUGCGUUGUAUUAGCUAGUAGGUGAGGUAAUGGCUCACCUAGGCGACGAUACAUAGCCGACCUGAGAGGGUGAUCGGCCACACUGGGACUGAGACACGGCCCAGACUCCUACGGGAGGCAGCAGUAGGGAAUCUUCGGCAAUGGGGGCAACCCUGACCGAGCAACGCCGCGUGAGUGAAGAAGGUUUUCGGAUCGUAAAGUUCUGUUGUAAGUCAAGAACGGGUGUGAGAGUGGAAAGUUCACACUGUGACGGUAGCUUACCAGAAAGGGACGGCUAACUACGUG
rnacentral:rRNA from 1 species